rnacentral:lncRNA from 1 species
GUUCUCCUUUGCCUCUGUUUUAUCCUGUAAUUUCAGCUGUUUUUCUCCAUGUGCUGCUGCAAUUAAGGAAUGGGGAUGUUUUAUAACUUACAGUUCUGGCUCAGCUCAGCUGUGCCAGAGAAGGGGAACUGGGAGACUUGGGGUAUGAAAUUUAGGUUUGGCCACAUCCAGAGACAACUGAGGUGACUGGGGGUGUGGCACCCCAAAUCUUGGCUCCUGGGGUGCAAUAUCCACACCUGCCCCAGCUGCCUCCUGAUUUCAGGAGGAUUCCAGGUGGUUGGAUUAGCUCUGCCUGGGAGAAAUAAUAAAAAUUGGACAAAUAAGCCUGGUUUUGCCAGUGACACUUGUUAUUUUGGCUGAGCCUGGUGUGGCUGAGGGAGAUGAGGUUCAUUUGACAGUCACAAAAUAUCUCCUCGUGUUCCCCUGCAUUUCAGUGCUCUGUCUUUUCAUACAGAGUUCAGUUUGCCCCUCUUGCUCCUAACCCUGAUUUCACUGUCAUGCUUUUAAUGUCUGAACUGUGAGGGUGGCGAGGCCCUGGCUCAGGCUGCCCAGAGCAGCUGUGGCUGCCCCAUCCCUGGAAAUGUUCAAGGCCAGGUUGGGUGGGACUUGGAGCAACCUGGUCUGGUGGAAGGUGUCUCUGCUCAUGGCAGGGGAUUGGGAAUAGAUGAUCUUUAAGGUCCCUUCCAACCCAAACCAUUCUGUGAUGCUGUAACACUGACAGUCACUUAGCUCUGAACAGUUUCUCCAUCUGUGGGUGGACACCAGAUGUGUCCCUAGGAGCAGGCUGGGGCAGGUACCCAACCCUGCUUUCUCCUCUCUGAGGAACCCUGAUCUAUUACAUCACAGGCUCAGACAAGAGUGGGUGACACAGGAAUCCUCACAAAUGUAACAACCUUAAUGGUGACAUUUGCAGUGAAAUGUGAGGGGAUGGUCAUUCCUGCUGUGUGCCUCCAAUUCUGGUGCUAUUUCCAGGCGAGGACAAGAGGAUGAUCUUUGCAUUUUGCUCUGCUGCACAGUAUUCACAGAACUGACUGUAGGAGCAAACUUUCUCUCUCCACACAUGAAGUGGAAAACUGUAGCCUGCUCUGCACUCCUGUCACACCCCAGCAGCUGGAAAACUGUUUUAGGUGAAGUGAUUUCUACAAUCUGUAGUUAACUUGAGCUGCAUUUGGAAACAUGGUGAUCGAUUAAGGAAUUCAAUGUUAAAUAGUCAGGUGAUAGAGCUGUGACCUGCUUUCAUAAAGCAGUGUCAAAACAAAUUUUUGUCCCAAAUGUUCAGAUGUUCUGUGUUUCAAUAAGUUGAUUUUAUUACCUGCCUUAUGUUAAAAUGAGUUUUACACCACCUAACAACUUCUUCAAAAGUAAAGUAAAAGUUAGGAUUUUGAAAUAAAGAAAUUA